rnacentral:rRNA from 1 species
CGAAAUGCGAUAAGUAGUGUGAAUUGCAGGCUUUAGUGAAUCAUCGAAUCUUUGAACGCACAUUGAG